rnacentral:rRNA from 1 species
GACGGAACGCUGGCGGCGUGCCUAACACAUGCAAGUCGAACGGAACUUACCGAAUGAAGUUUUCGGUAUGGAUUUUGUAUAAGUUUAGUUGGCGGACGGGUGAGUAAACGCGUGAGUAAACCUGCCUUCAAGAGGGGAAUAACGUUCUGAAAAGAACGCUAAUACCGCAUAACAUACGGAUGUCGCAUGGCAACCGUAUCAAAGAUUUUAUCGCUUGAAGAUGGACUCGCGUCUGAUUAGCCAGUUGGCGGGGUAACGGGCCCACCAAAGCGACGAUCGGUAGCCGGACUGAGAGGUUGAACGGCCACAUUGGGAC